CUAGAACUUUAUUGAAAGCUGAAUUCUGGAAGGAUUAUAUAUUACAUUUCUAUAGUAUCUCCUUAGACAAUGUUUAUCUAAUAUCUGUGUGUUUAUAGUAAUUUUAGUUUUUUCUUUAAAGAAAUACAAAUUGUAGACACAGAAAGAAGAUGAUUAUGUUAUCAAGUACAUCUCACUGACAAGAGGUUAUGAAUUUACUGGGCUAUACAAGUGCAUCAGCAAGAGGGUACCUCACUGAAGAGUGGCCAAUGGCAUCUGGAAAACCUGUCAGCUGGGAAGGCACAUGGCAGAUAUGCAUAUGCACAAGCUAGAAGAAAACUCCUUAACAAAACCUGUAUUUUACAAGGCAAAACCUUGAGACCUUCCAUGGAGGGGAUGCAAGAUUUCCUCACACAUCACUUGACUCUCAGCGUGGGAAUGCCUGGGAAAUAUUAAAAGGAUGAUUUGCCCCCUCCAGGAAAGAAGAGAGAGAAGCUGAAGAGCCAGUGACAAGUUCCAUGUGAGGAGGACCCAAGGUGUGACAAAUCCUGUCAACCAUAUGACACACUGCUGCAAGCCUGUCAGCUCACCUUCAGUGCACUAUUAAAGGAUUAGUCGCAUCACAUCCUCAUGCAAAUUCCAGCUGUGUGCCCUGUGAUCCAGGGAAAAGGCCCACCAACAGCAUGGUAUUCACAGAAGAAAUGCACUGCUGCGAAUUUUCUCACUUUUUUC